rnacentral:rRNA from 1 species
CAGUCGCCACGGGAAUACAGAGGGUGCGAGCGUUAAUCGGAUUUACUGGGCGUAAAGCGUGCGUAGGCGGCUUUUUAAGUCGGAUGUGAAUCCCUGAGCUUAACUUAGGAAUUGCAUUCGAUACUGGGAAGCUAGAGGAUGGGAGAGGAUGGUAGAAUUCCAGGUGUAGCGGUGAAAUGCGUAGAGAUCUGGAGGAAUACCGAUGGCGAAGGCAGCCAUCUGGCCUAAUACUGACGCUGAGGUACGAAAGCAUGGGGAGCAAACAGGAUUAGAUACCCCGGUAGUCCCUGUCUCUUAUACA